rnacentral:lncRNA from 12 species
GUCGCCGAUUGUGGGAAAGGUUCCGCCAGCCUUUCCGCCGCUCGGGCCGCCCUAAUGAGGGAACAAUCGGGCGCCCCGGAGCUGCCGGCGGGGUCAGGCCCGGCGCCCCAGCCCCUGACAGCGCCAUAAAUUGGCCGCGCAAAGCCGAGCGCUAGGUGGUCCCGGGAGGAAAGAGCCGCCGCCGGGAGCGCGAAAAGGCGAGUCCGGGAGCCCGCCGGGGGGCCGGUGGCGUUCCCUCCAGAUCACCUUGUUGGAACCCAGGAGUAGCAGAGGAGGAGCACCGUGGCAUAAGGAAGAAGAAAACGUAGGUAGCCUCUCCAGGAAGCAAUGUGACCUCACAUUCUUCAUACAGAACCACAGAAUUUGAUAAAUACGCAUGUUGCUGAAAUAAUACAUUAAAAAGAGAAAGACCAAUUCCAAAAACGGAAUGAGGGAUAUUGUCAUUCCAACCUUGUAUUAUAAGCCUGUCAUGUGUUCUAGAAGAAUUGUUCAUGUAGUGAAGGAAUAAUAAGAAAGAAAACACAGCCAAGAGGCCCUGUUGCUGAGUGUUCUUGACAACAGACAACCCCUAAGGAUUCUUGCCUGCAAUCCUGG